GAAGGGGUGGGGGUGGGGGGAAAGUGGGGACACCUCCCCUGAGGGAUCGCGGCCCGCCGGUGCUAGCUCGCAUCGCGCCCCUAGCCCAGCUCAGGGACUCGGGUUUCCCCUGCGGUUUCGCAACCCUGGGGUUUUUAGAGGGAAACUGCUUGGGUUCUCCAAGCCUAGGGCUGUGAUUUCCCAACAGGUGAAAGGGAACAGGCAGAGAAAGGGGCAGGCCGCACUGGGCAUUUAUGGGGCUCCUCGUGGCACAGUCACUGUGAAAGUGGGAGAAGUCAGUCGCCAGAGGGCUGGGGCUGGAGCGGAGGGUGAAGGACUGCGGUAGGGAGCCCCAGGACUCCGGAGCCUGGCGGCUGGGGACGUGCCUCCCCAGGAGGAGAGGCGCUGAGGAGGGAGGAGUGGGCAGCAGGGCAGGGUAAGAUAAGGCCUGAGAGUCCCAUUAGUCUCAGAAGCAAGUAGGUCAUUGAUAACCCGGGUGCGAGGCAGAUUUAAAGGACGGGGGUGGAAGCCGGAUUCCAGUGGCCUGAGGCAUAGAUGGGACUUCGGGGAAUGAAAAUGGAGGAAUGGAGGCAGCAAGUGUUGGCAAGUGUUUUUUUCUUUGAGACAGAAUCUUCCUCUGUCGCCCAGGCUGGCGUGCAGUGGCGCACUGCAACCUCCGCCUCCCGGGUUCCAGCGAUUCUCCUGCCUCAGCCUCCUGAGUAGCUGGGAUUACAGGCCCCCGCCACCAUGCCUGGCUAAUUUUUGUAUUUUCGGUUAAUUUUUGUAUUUUUGGUAGAGAAGGGGUUUCACCAUGUUGGUCAGUCUGGUCUCAAACUCCUGACCUCAUGAUCCGCCCAUCUCGGCCUCCCAAAGUGCUGGCAUUACAGGCGUCAGCCACCGCAUCUGGUGGCAACUCUUUAGACAGGUGACAGUGAAGGGCUGAGAUAGCUAUUGUUUUUAAACCACAGACAAGAGAAAAAGUCCUGGAGAACCAGGGCUCAGAGGGGAGAACUGGUACUGCUAGGCACUCCCGACAUCCAUUUCUCCAUCCUGCAUUUUGUUCAGGGGUCUACUGCUGCUCCAAACCUGGACCCCAGUGCUGUUAUGGGGCUAAAGGAAAUCCCUUCUCCUUGUCAGUGAGUGGUUGAGGCUGGGCAUGUGCCAGUUCUGUAUGAGAUGUGAGCAAAGCCUGCAGGCUGAUGGACGUGGUGCCAUCUCUGGAAAGAUCCUCUCUCACUGCACUUCUUCCUCUGGGUGUUGUCUGUCCCUAUCUUUCCUUCCCUCUGCAGGUAAUUGUGAAACACCUACUCUGCCAGGCCCUGGGGAAAUGAGGCUAAACAAUCACAAACAUCUCUGCCUUCCUGGAGCACACCUUCUAGCCAGGUGGGGUCCAGACACUCAAUGAGGCCAAGGGAAUGUGCCCUAUGUUGGAUGCAGUUACAUGCCAGGGAAAAAUAUGAAGCCAGAAAAAAAGUGGGGAGUCGGGAGGUGGUUAAUCUUAAAAGGUGGUUAGAGCAGGCCUGUGUAGGGACCUGAAAGAGGCAUGGGAGCCAGGUGGACAUGUAGGUAAAAGCACUGUAGGCAGAGGAGACACAAGUGCAGAGGCGGGGGCAGGAGUCCACCUGGCAUGUUUGAAGUUGCAGCCAAAGGUAGGUCGCAGGGAAUAGGUUGCCAGAGUGGAAAGAGAGAUGACAUGAAAAUCUAUCUGGAGGGAGAGUCCAAGGAGGAGAGUGCAGGUCCUUGAUAGGUCUUGGUUAAGUCUGGCCAUGCUGCCCAGAAGGGUGCCCUGGUCUUGCUGGCUGCCUGAGAAUGAAGCCCAUUUCCAGAGUGGCAGAGCAGAGAGAGGGGAGGGCCCUGGGUUCCUGAUGGCAUUGUAGAACACAGGAAUCAGCUGAUCCUGGAGCUUCUUUCUUUCUCUUUCUUUCUUUCUCUUUCUUUCUUUCUUUCUUUCUUUCUUUCUUUCUUUCUUUCUUUCUUUCUUUCUUUCUCUCUCUCUCUCUCUCUUUCUUUCUUUCUUUCUUUUUCUUUUCUUCUUCUUUUUUUUUUUUUGAGAUGGAGUUUGACUUUGUUACCCAGGCUGGAGUGCAGUGGCGCGAUCUCGGCUCACCGCAAUCUCCUCCUCCUGUGUUUAAGCAAUUCUCCCGCCUCAGCCUCCUGAGUAACUGGAAUUACAGGCACGUGCCACCACGCCCAGCGAAUUUUUUUAUUUUUUUUAUUUUUAGUAGAGACGGGGUUUCACCAUGUUGAUCAGGAUUGGUCUUGAUCUCUUGACCUCGUGAUCCACCUGUCUCGGCCUCCCAAAGUGCUGGGAUUACAGGCUUGAGCCACCGCGCCUGACCCCUGGAGCUUAUUUCUUAUUAUUUCACUUAUUUGAAGCUGGAGUUGCUGUUUCUUGCCCUCAGAGGCAGCCUAGCACAGAUAAUUACCUCCCAGAACCUAGUCAUCCCCGCAUAGUGUGUUUUGUACUGAAAUAAUAGACUACGUGAGACUGGGUAAUUUAUAAAGAACAGAGAUUUAUUUCUCACAGUUCUGGAGGUUGGAAAUCCAAGAUCCAGGCACCAGCAGGUUUGGUGUCUGGUGAGUGUUUAGUGUUUGGUGUCUGUCUCUGCUUCCAAAAUGGGGCUUUGCAUGUUUCAUCCUCUGAAGGGGAGGAACACUCUGUCCUCACAUGCUGGAAAAGUGGGAGAGAACCCACUCUUAUGACCGAAACACCUCACACUAGGCCCCACCUCCCAAUACUCUUGCAUUUGGAAUUGAGUUUCAACAUGAAUUUUGGAGGGGACAAAACCGCCCAAACAAGAGCACCCUCCAAGAGGUUGUAGUAGCAGACUUUUUGAGAACUGAUCACCUCCAGGUUUUAUAAAUUUUCCUCAUUUUACUUGGUGCUUUGUCCCCUAUGAGUAUGUUAGACUGCUUUCUGCUGUAUGUCAUAGAAAACCUGAUUAACAAUGUGGACUGUUUACUGGUCUGGAGUGGGAGAUCUCAGUGUUUUUGAAAGACCUAGGCUCUCUCCAUUUUUCUGCACAGCCAUCCUCAGCUGGUUGGCUUUUUGUCCAUGGACUCGUAGUUUCAUGGUUAUAGAAUGGCUGAAACAGCUCCAGACAUCACAUCUUCACGUGCUGGAGUUGCAGCCAAAGGCAGGUAGCAGGGAAUAGAUUGCCAGAGUGGAAAGAGAGAUUGAUAUGAUGCACCUGUUUGUUUUUUGCAUCAGGAAGAAAUCUCUCUUCUAGAACCUCUUCCUAUACCUUUCUUGCCCCCAGACCUUCCCUUAUACAUCAUCAGCCAGAUCUGGGUUGCACUGGCAAAGCCUAGGCACAAGGGAGACUGGCAAAGUGAGUAUCUGUCGUUUAUCAGAGUCAGUGGUCCGGUCUGUAAAAUAGGAUUAAAUUUAACUGCAAGGAACAAACACUUUAAACAGGAGAAUAAAUUAUUUCUCACAUAAAAGAAUUUGUGCGUUAAAGGUGGGGUGGUAGACAAUCUGUGGUUAGAACUGCAGAUCCAUGAGGUUGUUAGAGGUCCAGGCCUUUUCCAGAUCUCUGCUCCCACAUCCUGAGAGUGUGUCCCUUGCCCUCAGGGUCCAAGACGGGCACUAGCCAUCAGCAGGGCUCCCUUUAUGGAUUUCCUAGAAGUCCUAUAGGGCACUUCUGCCCUGUAUCUUAUUGGCAAGAACUUAGUUGCAAAGGAAGCUGGGAAAUUUAGUGUUUACUCAGGGUAGCCAUAUGCUAAAAUAAAACUCAGGAUUUUGUUACUAAGGAAGAAGACUGCGUCUUACAUUAGGUAUCCUAGAAGCAGGUCCUGAAACAAAGAUUGUUCCCAGAAUAAAUCAGUAAGGAGCUGGAAGGAGGAUAGCCAUGCAAGGAUCUCAGACAGUUAUAUGACAGGUAGGUUCAGCCUGACCUGAGGGGGAGCUCUCAUCUAAAGGAUGCCUCUGAGAUGUCCCUGCCCCAGGCAGGGUAUCUGGGCUUCCAUUCUUCUAUGCCUGUCAGCCACUGGCUAAGGGCUACCCUCAGUGAUAACCCAGGUACUUCAGUCUUUCUAUAGAUGGGCACAAAAGGGCAGUAGCACAAGAACAGCCCAUCCAGAAGAGCUGCAGGACCUCAGGUCAAAAGCAAAAACAUGCUAAGUGAGAGGGCAGACUCAGAGAAAGGGAUCCAGGAAUCUCUGCAGAGCCCCAGUGGGGUCCCUGCAGGGGUAAUGCCUAGUGGGAAGGAAGUAGCCACCUCUGUUACUGAGGCAAGGAAGAGAAGGGCAGGAAUGGCUGAUAGUGGCCAACAGGCAACCUGUGCAGCACGUGUGCAAGUUCCUGCCUAUGUGAUGGUGAGAAUCAUGGAAAGUCAAAAGCAAGAGGGAAGACAGAAAAGACCAGGAGACCAAGUGCUGCUGUGUGAGCACCUGGAGACCUGUGCUGUGCUCAGGGCACUCUUCUGAGGUUAGCUAUUUGAAAUAGUGAUAGCAGUUACAAUGGGGGCAAAUUGAUGCUGAUCAGGAACACAUAUGUAGACAUUUAAUUAUGGUAUUUAUUUUAUAAACAGGAAUUUUCUAGAACACAGAAUAUUUCCUUUGCUGAGAAAUGUCCAUAUUCUUUGUCUGCUUGAUUUGUAGGUCUUUCAAUAUGAGGGAAAUCAGGCCUUGAUCUGUCAUGGGUAUCUGUAUAUUUUUUCUCGGUUCAUAGAUUUUGUGUGUACACGGAUUGCUCUUCCUUGCCACAUACUGUGUGUGGGGAUUACAUUGCUAACUGUCCAACACGUUCUCCAAAAGACCUGUCAUCAUAUCCCACCCCCACCCAGGGCUGCUGGAAGACUGUGCCACAUGGGAGGGGAGGAAAGUAUCAGGCAGUAGGUUCUGCCCUAGCCUCUGCACAGGAGCAGAUGUGUCCCCACAAGGGGGUCCUGUUAUGUCCUGUUCCCUAGUUUCUUAGGCAUUGCUCAUGUUAUCAUGAGCAUGUUAAUUUAGAGAACUUACUUUGUGUUUAAGAAACCAAUCCAUAUGUUUAUUUCCACAUGUGGAUUGUAAACUCCUCCACGGCAGUGACACUGAAUGUCUCAUUUUCUACUCUGCAUUCCCUGGAACAGUGCCUGGCACACAAUAUGCACCAAUAUAAAUUUAUUUAAAAGAAUGAAGAGUAAAGGGCUAUAUAGCAUAUGCCACUAUAAUGACUUUUAAUCAUAUGAAAAGAUACUCAGUACAGAAGGUGAGAGGGGAAAUUGAUAUUUCCCCUGUUUGGUGGGCUGUUUGCAAUAUGUAUUGAAAUUGGAAAUGCAUACCGCCUUUGACCCAGCAAUUCCACCUUUAGAGUUUAUAAGAACCAUAAAUCCAUGCCUGUACAUAAAGAAGUAUGUGCAAGGACGUUUACUUCCACAUAUGGACCGUAAACUCCUCCACAGCAGUGACACUCUUGUUUUCUACUCUACAUUCCCUACAACAGUGCCUGGCACACAAUAGGCACCAAUACAGAUUUUUUUUUUUAAAGAAGAGUAAAGGGCUGGGAAAACACCUGUGUUUCACAGUUGAAUAAUUAUGGUACCUCCAUAGAAUGGAAUAUUGUACAGUCAUGAAGAAGAUUACAUAUAUAUAAUAUCUGAGAUGGAAUCUGGCUCUGUUGCCCAGCAGACUGGAGUGCAAUGGUGCAAUCUUGGCUCACUGCACCCUCCACCUCUCGGGUUUAAGCAAUUCUGCCUCAGCCUCCCAAGUACCUGGGACUACAGGUGUGUGCCACCACACCUGGCUAAUUUUUGUGUUUUUAGUAGAGUUGGGGUUUCACAGUGUUAGCCAGGAUGGUCUUGAUCUCCUGAUCUUGUGAUUUGCCCACCUUAGCCUCCCAAAGUGCUGGGAUUACAGGUGUGAGCCACCAAGCGCAGCGAAGAAGAGAUAUAUUGAGGCGUGUGUGAUACUGAACCAUCUCAAAGUAUAAUGUUAACAGCAAGGUGUAGAGCAGGUCAAGUAGUAAGCUGCUGUUUGUUUAGAAAGAAAAUAAUAACAUACAUAAAUGUGGAAAUGUGCAAAAACUGCCUCUGCAAAGGUUUACUGGAAAUUGCCAAUAUAGAAUGACAGAAAAACUCUUACUGUAGGCUCUCUUUUGUGGUGGUGUUUUUUUUUUUUUUAAUGUGUGUGCAACGUAUGUUACCUAUUCUAAAAAAGUAAGUAAAUGAGGUGCUGUUUCCCAGUGCACUUCAAUCAGUUUCUCCCAUGGUAGAGAGGAUCACCACAGGGGAUUUACAGUUCUGUCUGCCCGCGGAGCCAGAGGAAGCCGGCCUUGCUUGCCGUGUAGUUCCAGCUUGUCCUCCUUUCUCUGAGUCUUGCCUCGCCACACUCUUUCUUCCCUCGGACCAAGUCAUGUUUCCCCACGUUGAAACUUCCAGGGAAGGAGCUGCUGAGCAAAUUCAUAGUGUAGUGUCAGUGGCUGCCAUGGCUCACUGCGUUGCUCCUCUCAGGAGUAUUGUCAUUUAAAUAGGGACAAGGUCUUGAGCCAAAGACCUAAGAUCUGACUGAACAGACUUGCAGCAUUGGCUCCUGUGCCCUGUGCUAGGGAGAGGCAUCCAGCAUCCCCUAAACAGCCGUGCUUGCCACCUUCUAUCCCCUUGACUACAUAAAGAGGCCAGAGAGCAGGGGGAGGGCUCUGAGAGGCAUUGGCUGUUUAUUUUCCUUGUCUUAACUAACUCUGGCUGCCUUAACAAAUACCGCAGACUGGGUGGCUUAAACUGGAGAAAUGUAUUUUCUUAUGGAUUGGAAGCUGGGAAGUCCAAGAUCAAGAUGCUGGCUGAUUCAUUUCCUGUGCUGCUGAACACACCUCAUUCUGGUGGCCUGCCUGGAGGGAGACAGUGUGACGUGGUGGGCUCAGGGACAGUCUCAGGACCCUAUUUGGACAAGUAACACAGUAGCUCAGAGAGUAGACUUGCAGCCAGGCUGCCCGGUUUGUAGCCCAGCUUGCCCUGUGUGAUCUGAGGGGUGACUCCAGAGGCUUCGGGCACCUGCUGAUGAAAAAUCAAAAUCUCUUAUUGGCUGAAGCAUAUUCCAGAAAGGCUAGGAUGCCACCAAGUCAACACCACUCUAAAUAAGCACAGACGAUGGCAUAGCCAGAAAGCCCUCACCAGAUUCCAGCACCAGCCUCCAAGAUGUGAGCCGAAUAAAUCAUUGUUUAUAAAUUAUCUAGUCUCAGGAAUUCUGUUUUAGCAACCCAAAACAGACUGA